rnacentral:rRNA from 1 species
GACGAACGCUGGCGGCGUGCUUAACACAUGCAAGUCGAACGGAAAAGCACUGCCUUCUUCGUACGCGAGUGGUGAGCGGGGGAGGGACACGUGGGAGUUCUGUCCCCCACUCCGUGAUAAGCGAGCGCAACACGGCCUAAUACCGGAUAUGCGAUAUUCUGCGUCUGUUGGAUGGUCUGUUUUUUUGGUGUAGGAUGGGUGCGCGGGCUAUCAGCCUGUUGGUUGGGUAAUGGCCUGCCAAGGCGGCCAAGGGUAGCCGGCCUGAGAGGGAGGACGGCCACACUGGGACUGAGACACGGCCCAGACUCCUGCGGGAGGCAGCAGUGGGGAAUAUUGCACAAUGGGCGAAAGGCUGAUGCAGCGACGCCGCGUGGGGGAUGACGGCCUUCGGGUUGUAAACCCCUUUCGCUAGGGACGAAGCUUUUGUGACGGUACCUGGAGAAGAAGCACCGGCUAACUACGUG